ensembl:lncRNA
GGAUAUUUUGCAAGCGACAGAGAAACUGCUGAGGUUUCUCUACAAAGCUAAAGAAAUUUAAUUUGUGCACUCCCCUUCCCCACCCCUCAACUUCUCCUACCUCCGCCCACCCCCCAGUGAGCCCCUCUCCCAGUCCCUCCUUGCAGCCCCUCCCUCCUGUUGAAAAUUUCUUACUCGGUUCUUUUCUUUCUUUUUUUUUUUUUUUCCAUCUCUCUUUGGGGCUUUGGAGAAAGGGAACAGACGCGGAAAAUAUUUUUGCCACAGUUUUCCAUUCUGCGUCUCAUUCCCAAGCCAAGGGGGAGGGGGAGGGCUGGAACGGAUGGGGGGAAAUAAAUGCUUUUUCCAAAAGCUCAGUUUGGGUGUGAAAAAGACAGUCCCUUCAUUUCCCUACCCCCAUAGCCCAGGAAUAACAAAAACUAGGAAAAGAGAAAAAAAAAUCACUUGUUUGAUUAUACGGUUUCUCAGAACGGAAUCUAGGAAAGAGUGUUCGACAAAUCUGUGCGCACACACACACACAGACACACAGGCACACACACAGAUACACACACUCCAAACCCAGUCGCAAGAAACAUGCUAGGCAGAGGAAAUUCAGGGAGUUUUAGAAGCCAUUGAAACCGAAGAAAGAAACAAAGUUUCAAAUCGCGAGUCAAUUCAUUCUCUGCAAGCCUACCUCUCUUUCUAGCAAAGAUCCAGGCUUCUCCAAGUGGGACUCUCCCUCCGGGUUUGCAUGGACGGCGUAGGGUGGGGGUGACCACCCACCGGUCUCCCCAGGGUGGCCACCACGCUAGAGAUGCUGGCUUUGCUCUCUCGCCUUUCCAGCUACGACCAGGGAGUGGGCUGGGUCUCCUCCCCGGGCCCUCCCAAAGGGAAGGACCUCUCAGGUUCCAAGAAGAUGGGUGCAGCGGAGCUGGACGGGUGUCUCUGGCCUUGCUCUCCUCGGAGGGAUGGUUCCCCAGGAAGUUCGUGCUCCCCCCCCUCAAGCCCCAGCUUUGGACGGUCUCAACAGCAGAGCUUUCUUAAGAAAAUGCUUGUCAUGGCAACAGCUCCAGCCAACUCGGGCCAGAGUCUUGCUCACCAGCUCUCCCGGAGCAGUGAGGGAGGAGAAGGGGGAGGAGCGAGAGCUGGAACGGAGGUGGGGCUUGGCUGGAGGCCAGACCAUGACUCUACUGUUAAGGUGGCCCGAUUUCGAGCUGCAGCUGCUUCCUGGUUUGUCUUAAGGCGGAAUGGAGAAAUGGAGGGGAAGAAUCCUCUCUUCUCUCUGGUUUCCUCCCCGCCCUUGCUGUCACUUGUGGGAAGGAAGGUCAUGCUGUGAUUGCUCUAAAACUCUAGAACAGAAGUCCAAGGAUCCUUGGGCAGGCAGAGCUCCGCAGUGGUCAUCUAGGUCAUCCCUCUGCCGCAGGCUCACUGGCUGCCUCCUGAUCGGCAAGUUGGGAGGGAGAUCGGCAUCCACCAGGCUUGUUCAGUCUUCGUGCUUCCCUUGCCAGGAAUUCCCCUCCGGCUCCUCCCUCUCCGCUUUCCAGCCGGGUCAGUAUCCGAGUGAGAUUAACAGUCCAUUCUACUGCAAGGAGCUAGCAUACUCCUGGACUUCUGGUGGCCGAGGGUUCUUCUUCAUUCAGAGGGAACGCCCGGAGUCUGGGCUCUAGGCUUUGGCAUGGAACAGCCCGUGGGGCCGGGCACCAGCACUGUGGGCAGAGGCCAGAGUCUGGGCAGGGGCUUUUCUGUUCGUUGAUGGCAGGCUGGACUUCCCCCAACAGAUCCAGAAUGAGCCUUCUUAGAGACGGAAAGAAAACACAAUUGCUAUCCUACAGGGUCUUCUGGAAUUGCUGCCUGAGAAGGAAACUAGAUGUUGCCUGACUUCUCCUUACAUGGCACCCAUUUCAUCCCAGAAUUCAGGGAACUAAUUUUGGGUCCUGGAAUUUCCCUGUUUGCUGUUAGACCUCUUCCCCCACGGUCUCCCAGGUCACAAAGCUAACCCAGCUCAGAAGAACUGCAGGCCGGGAAGCUUUCUCCAGGAGCUGGGGGCACUGGAUGCUUCCAUCAUAUUAGCCAUCUGUUCUCUGGAGCAGCCCCCCAAAGGGGGCCACAAGUUGGGCAUUGAUCUCUGCCCAUUUGGGAUCUUUGCUUGGGUUCCAGAAGGACAGUCAGGUCAUUUUCAUUAGCUUUGGCUCAUUGUUACCAAUCACCCUGUUCCUCCCAGGGCUUCCCUCGCCUUCCUCCUUGCACCUCUCUUCCUGGUGAUCAGAAGAACCUGGAAGGGUAUCCCGCCAAUAGACGGCCAAAAGGCAGAGCAGGCAGCCGUGCCAGUGGCAGUGCCAGCGAAAGGACGGGCGAUUAAAACAAAAUGAUUCAUCUUGGGAAUGAGUGCAAAUCACUUUCCAUUUACAGGAAUCGGGGCUGGGCUCCAAACAGCCUCUGUGGGCUCAUGGGGGAGAUGGGAGUCUGGGCCAUUGACCGUUAAGUAAUGAGCUUUGCUGAGUGCUCCCUGCUGACUCUGUGGAGAGGAGAUCUGGCUGGCAACAUGGGCGGGGGAGCCAGAGAACAGGCAGGAGAGGCUUGGGGCUGUUUAGGGCAGUUAGGACACAGGAGAGAGUGGGAGAGGGCUCC